GCAGGCUGCAACUCGCCUGUAUGAAGUCGGAAUUGCUAGUAAUCGCGGAUCAGCAUGCCGCGGUGAAUACGUUCCCGGGCCUUGUACACACCGCCCGUCACACCAUGAGAGCCGGGAACACCCGAAGUCCGUAGUCUAACCGCAAGGAGGACGCGGCCGAAGGUGGGGUUUUGGUAAUUGGGGGUGAAGUCGUAACAAGGUAUC
rnacentral:rRNA from 1 species